GCCUGGCUGGCUCAUUUGGAAGAGCAUGUGACUCUUGAUCUCAGGUAUGUGAGUUCAAGCCCCACAUCGGGUG
rnacentral:tRNA from 1 species